rnacentral:rRNA from 1 species
GAUGAACGCUGGCGGCGUGCCUAAUACAUGCAAGUCGAGCGAACAGACGCGGCGCUUGCUCCUCUGUCGUUAGCGGCGGACGGGUGAGUAACACGUGGAUAACCUACCUAUCAGACUGGGAUCACUUCGGGAAACCGGAGCUAAUACCGGAUAAUAUAUUGAACCGCAUGGUUCAAUAGUGAAAGACGGUUUUGCUGUCACUUCUCGAUGGAUCCGCGCCGCAUUAGCUAGUUGGUAAGGUAACGGCUUACCAAGGCAACGAUGGGUAGCCGACAUGAGAGGGGGAACGGCCACAUGGGGACUGAGAUACGGCGCAGAAGGCAACGGGAGGCAGCAGUGGGGAAUAUUGCACAAUGGGGGGAAGCGUGAUGCAGAGACGCCGCGUGCGGGAUAACGGCCUUCGGGUGGUAAACAGAUUUGGACGGUGACGAAGCGAGAGUGACGGUACCGGGUAAAGAAGCACCGGCUAACUACGUG